rnacentral:lncRNA from 1 species
AUGGCUUCUCUGUGCCACUCACCCUCCACUUGUUUCUUUCUGGCAGAAAAACAAAAUAAAACAAAACCACCUUUUACUUGGCAAACAGACAAGGGGUUGGAGAAGUCUGGAGAAGAUGAAGCCAGGGAAACGCUGAAAAGUUUGAAGAGGAAGGAAUUUUCAUGUACUAAGCCUCUCACUGUGAGCUAACAGAGAUUUUGGGAGGUUAAGUAACUUGGCCAAGGUCAUAAGGCCGGUAAAGAGCUGAGCUGGGACUUGACCUGAGUUUGUUUGACUUGAAGCUGGAGUUCUCAAUCAUUAUGCACCCCCAGAUCUACUGAAUCCGAGUGUCUGGUGAGUAGGGAUGGACCUAGGAUUUUAAGGUGAUUCUUAGGUCAUUCUUUUAUAUCUUCAUCCCAUUUGAGAAAUGCUCACGUAGACGGUGAGGCAGAGGGAUGAACACUGUCUGUGGGGAGGAGUUACAGAGUCGAAACUGGAUCUUGAAGGAUUAAAUGGGAGUUUCCAGGCAGACUGAGGUA